rnacentral:tRNA from 1 species
AAGUGAGAAGCAAAUUUUGCAAUCAGUUUCGACCUGAUCAUAGAUAACCCAACCUUAUCCUCACUUU